rnacentral:rRNA from 1 species
GCAGGGAAUCUUGCGCAAUGGGCGAAAGCCUGACGCAGCGACGCCGCGUGGGGGAAGAAGGCCUUCGGGUUGUAAACCCCUUUUCUCGGGGACGAAACCAGACGGUACCCGAGGAAGAAGCUCCGGCUAACUACGUGCCAGCAGCCGCGGUAAUACGUAGGGAGCGAGCGUUGUCCGGAUUUACUGGGCGUAAAGGGCGCGUAGGCGGUAUGGCACCUCUCCGGUGAAAUCUCCCGGCUUAACCGGGAGGGGUCCGGGGAAAGGGCUGCACUGGAGGGCGGCAGAGGCGAGUGGAAUUCCCGGUGUAGUGGUGAUAUGCGUAGAGAUCGGGAGGAACACCCGUGGCGAAAGCGACUCGCUGGGCCGACCCUGACGCUGAGGCGCGAAAGCGUGGGGAGCAAACCGG